UGAUUUGUAUGAUGUGUCAGUAGAGGGCAUCAACCCAUUGAUCUUUUGUAGUUUGUAUUAAACUUGAACUGAGAAAAAA